AGUCUGUAAGAGGCAGCACCUGUAACAAAUUUUUUGAUUAUAAAAUUAUAUUUUGAAAUUAUGCAAAUUUAUUGUAUUUUUAAAAUAACUGAUAGCCAGUAUUUGGUAUCGUGUUAUUUCUACUUUCAUUGCUGAUAUUUGCAGUCGUUAUAUGAUUUUAUGCUUCAUAAUGUACUACUCGAUAAAAGACCGUUAUAGUGUGUAUGAAAUCGGAUUUAAUUAAAAGCUUUCUAUAAAAGCAGACCUGCAAGGUUGAGCGAUCAUCAGAAUACAAGAUAUUAGAUAUCAAAAGCGUUUGACAAAAUGAAAUUUGUCUUGCUUGUCUGCGCUUUCCUUUUAAUUGCGAUCGACGCUGUGAACGGUCGUGGCGAAUGUUCCGCGAAGGAAUACGACUAUUGCGCACGAUUUGAUAUAAUGUGUGACUCUCCUAAAUGGAUUAUAGAAUGCACCAAACCUAAAGAACAUAUCAUAUGUAAAUGCAAACUUAAUUUUAGAUGAUUUAAAAUUAACUCUUCUAAAAAUAAACAUUAAUAGACUUAUGUCAAACUAAAUAAUCGGCAUUUCUCAUUUUGUAGCACUCAAAUUCACUAUUUCGAUAAGGCUAUCAAGUUCGAUUAGCAAUUACAUUACAGUAGGCAUAAAACAUUAUUUAAUUAAAAGUUACUUGAUUCGUUUCAAAUCGCACGUUUUAUCCAAUCCUAAAUCAUGUGUAUAAAAGUGAACGCUUAGGACGACGCAGAGUUAGAAUCAAAGAUAUUUCGGUCGCACACGUUCGCUAAGAAGAUUCGACGCGAUGAAGUUUUCCUUAUUCGCGUGCGGUCUCUUUUUGUUCACGAUAAGUGGCGUGAAAUCUCGCGAACAAUGUACCCACGAAGAAUACCAGUCUUGUGAAAUUUAUACACAAAUGUGUGAAUUCCCGAAAUGGAUUUAUAGGAUGCACCAUACGUAACAACGUUCCCGUAUGCGUAUGCAAAGAUACACCUCUUACUGAGCUACGUGAUGACCAGCCGAUUUGGGCCCAUUCACAAGGUCGUUUUUUAAAUAAUGGCAAUUACUGAUAUCAAACUAGGCGAAUGCCACGUACUUGAGUUAUAGAAAAAAAGUGUAAUCUGCAUCAUUCUGAUGCAGAGUAAAUUUCAAAUUUUAAAACGCUGUUUGAUGAUGAAAAUAUCAAUCUUCAUAAUCACCUCCACUGGGUGGUACCGCUGGUGGCGGCGCUUGGGGCUGCUGCGGUGGAGCGGCUGGCGGCGCGAUUCCGGCAUUAAAAUCGCCUAAGCCCUGCGGUUGAUUCACUGCUCCUCUGUACUCGUAGGGAUUGCUCGGAGGUGCUCCGUAAGGUCCACUGGCAUAGCCCUGAGGUGAUCCGUGAAAAGUGUAAGAAGGUUCGAUGACGGUGGGGUUGUACUGCUGCUGCUGCUGGGGUUGUUGAGUUUCUCCGGUAAUCGCCGACAGGGACAGGUUAGGCAGCGACGAGAGUAUCGAGGUGAAAUAACCUUGCUUCUGAGGCUGUUGUUGCUGUUGCUGAGGUGGAGGAGCUUGGGGACUUUGUUCUUGCGGUGAUGAUAAGGUCAGGCUGGGCGAAACGUUGCCUGGUAGCGUCGCCGGUGCCUGGCCUAUGAAACUGUCGAGCUCGGCUGCCGGAACAGGAUCUGGGAGAAAAAUGAAAAAAGAUAUUUUUAGUACGAGGUUAGGAUUUGCAUUGAUUAUUGUUUAUAACAAUAACGCAGACAGAAUGCAGAUUAAAGUUUGUUUAACGAUUUCACAAGCUACGCAAAUGGAAUUUCGCUCUACUUUCAAUUUCGAGACCCACGUCAGUUCCUGCCUUAUCAGAACUCCGGUACGCGUUUCCACCUCGUAGUAAGAUGACGACUUUUCCGCGGAACUGCCUUCGCCGUAUAACCCAAAAGUCUCCGCUGAUAAUUCACGCAAAAUCAAUAUUUAACAGGAUGCCGCCUUUGUAUCCGCGACUCGUAAUGACCGUAAGAUAAUUCGCCCUGAUAAAAAGGCCCAAAUGUGGCCCAAGCAAAAGAAUCUCUCUCUCUCUCUCUCUCUCGAGAGAGAGAGAGAGAGAGAGAGAGAGAGAGAAUCGCUCGCUAUGGGAUUAUUCAGCGUUUCGAGGGAAUUAUUGUUAAGGCGUUCUUACACGCCUUUCGGUAGUAGCGUGUAAGGCUUUGUAUUGAAAAUGCAGAUGAGUUCUAUAGAAGUGAGCGCGCGACAUGCAGAAGAUAAAAGGACACGCGUUAUCUUGAAAAUAGCUCCAAAAUUGUACGACGCAUUUAUUUAAAAAUGAGUAAUUGUUUUGUGUGACAAUGUCUGAGGAUAAUACUAUAUUCUAAAAUAUUGAGAAAAUAAAAAUUACAGGAAUUAAAAAAAUAUUUGUAGUUUUUAG